GUAGGGUGCGAGCGUUAUCCGGGAAUCAUUGGGCGUAAAGAGCUCGUAGGCGGUUCAGCAAGUCGGCUGUGAAAUUCCGAGGGCUCAACCUCGGAACUGCAGUCGAUACUGCUGUGACUCGAGUCCGGUAGAGGAGAAUGGAAUUCCCGGUGUAGCGGUGAAAUGCGCAGAUAUCGGGAGGAACACCAGCAGCGAAGGCGGUUCUCUGGGCCGGCACUGACGCUGAGGAGCGAAAGCGCGGGUAGCAAACAGGAUUAGAUACCCUGGUAGUCCACGCCGUAAACGUUGGAUACUAGGUGUGGCGUUCCGACCAACGGUCGCCGUGCCGAAGCUAACGCAUUAAGUAUCCCGCCUGGGGAGUACGGCCGCAAGGCUA
rnacentral:rRNA from 1 species